rnacentral:rRNA from 1 species
GAUGAACGCUGGCGGCGUGCCUAAUACAUGCAAGUCGAGCGAACAGACGAGGAGCUUGCUCCUCUGACGUUAGCGGCGGACGGGUGAGUAACACGUGGAUAACCUACCUAUAAGACUGGGAUAACUUCGGGAAACCGGAGCUAAUACCGGAUAAUAUAUUGAACCGCAUGGUUCAAUAGUGAAAGACGGUUUUGCUGUCACUUAUAGAUGGAUCCGCGCCGCAUUAGCUAGUUGGUAAGGUAACGGCUUACCAAGGCAACGAUGCGUAGCCGACCUGAGAGGGUGAUCGGCCACACUGGAACUGAGACACGGUCCAGACUCCUACGGGAGGCAGCAGUAGGGAAUCGUCCGCAAUGGGCGAAAGCCUGACGGAGCAACGCCGCGUGAGUGAUGAAGGUCUUCGGAUCGUAAAACUCUGUUAUUAGGGAAGAACAAAUGUGUAAGUAACUAUGCACGUCUUGACGGUACCUGAUCAGAAAGCCACGGCUAACUACGUG